GCCUGGGUGGCUCAGUCGGUUAAGCAACAGACUUCGGCUCAGGUCUUGAUCUCACAGUUCGUGGGUUCGAGCCCCACAUCAGGCU
rnacentral:tRNA from 1 species